rnacentral:rRNA from 1 species
UACGAAGGGUGCAAACGUUGCUCGGAAUCAUUGGGCGUAAAGCGCACGUAGGCGGCUUGCCAAGUCGGACGUGAAAUCCCUCAGCUCAACUGAGGACGUGCAUCCGAAACUGGCGAGCUUGAGUGCUGAAGAGGAUCGCGGAAUCCCCGGUGUAGAGGUGAAAUUCGUAGAUAUCGGGAGGAACACCAGUGGCGAAGGCGGCGAUCUGGGCAGACACUGACGCUGAGGAGCGAAAGCGUGGGGAGCGAACAGG